GUUCAAGUAUUGUUGAUUUCAAAAGUCAAUUUGGAUUAUAAGACUAAAAUCUGCACCUAAGAAUCAGUUAAAUUGUUUGUUCGUUUUUUAGAUUUCAAUUUGCUUCCAAUAAGGUGGUUGACAACUUUCAUUGUGAUUUGAUGGUUGGGUUUUGUACAUGAAAGCUUCUUAGAGAGCAACUUGGCUAUUGUUGGUGGCAGUGUACAGUUAAUUUGGAAGGAUUGUCAAGAGUUGGUCUAAAAUUUCCCACAGCCAAGGUGGGAUGCAAAAUUGGGUGUGGAUACAUAGCUUGAGGUAAUUCACAGUGAAAGCUCCUACCUAUGCCUUGGAAUUUUUUUAAGAGCAUGCUCUGUAAGUACUUUUAUUCUGUUUUGAGAUGAUUAAAGCUUUAUCAUAAUUAUCUCAUUGGAAUUUUGGCAUGGUUAAAAAAGGGGCAGCAAGGUAUAUAAAUGUGCACAUGCAUAAAUAUUUGUAUGUAUCAGUCCUGCCAAUUUGUAGUAAAGAAUUAUUAUCUUCAACUUUAAGAUUUAAAAUAUAUAUAUUGUUUCUUUAGCCAAUCUGAUUAUUUUGGUUUUGAUGUAAUAAUAUUAUUCUUAUUUUUCUUUUUGGAAGGCAUAACAAAUUGAAGAUAUACUGUAUGAUAGUAGGUCUAAAACAAAACUAAAAAAUUAAACUAAAAUCAAAGUAGAAAUCAUAUAUAUAUAUAUAUAUAUAUUGUUUUGCUUUCAAAGUUUGCGAAAUUAAUAAUGUCUAUCAUGUGUUGGAUGGAAUUCAUGAUAUAUGUAAUGGUUAGUGGAACUCAUUUGCUAUUUCAUAUAUCAAUGUUUAGUAUUUUUAAAAUAGGCAAAUACUUCCAUUCUUCAUAUUUUUAUAAUUGUUCUUGAUGCCUACAACGUCCCAUUAAAGAUUAUGCCACUUAGUUUAGUGUUUUGAAGUGCAUUGUUUUCCCAUAACGUUGUACUGUAACAAGAAUAAUUCAAGACGUUGGUUAUUGUGUCUUCUAUAUCACAGAGGUGUAACAAUGUAUAUUUUCUUUAUUUGUAAGCAGUCAAUUUACGUAUUUGCAAGAAAAUUUAGUAAGGACAAGUGAAAUGAUUUGUUGGUGGUAAUGUAGUUGAGAAGAUUUUGGAUUCAAAAGUCAACCUUUGUUUUUUUAAAUGUGAGCUAAUGUAAUUUUUUUUAUUCAAGGUUUUCUUAUAUAUUGUUCAAUAUACAUUUGGCAGUCAAAACAGAUUCAUUUCGAAUUGAAUAAAUUUUUUAUUUCAGUUGUUUUCAAUAACUGAAAUUUAGUUUGCUUUUGGACGAAUUCUGUCAGUUCAUCAGCAAUAAAAUAGUGCAGAAAACCGGGGUACAAUGCACAAUUAACCACUACAGGAAGAUAUUUUUAGUAGUUGGGAGCUGUCGGAGUGGGUGCCGUUAUAGAAAUUCAGUGUUUCUCCCAAUGAUUGCUAUGCAAAAAAAAGACAAUUUGAAAAUCCUCUAGAAGUUGAACUGGUAGCUGUUUUGCAUUGCUAGAAUUUUGCUCAUGAAGAACAGAAAAAGGCUUAUAUUUUAGAAGGUUAUUUUGGUAUUUUUGCUUUGGUAUAUGAAUGAAAAUAAUUAAUUAUUUACUGAGUUUUGCUUUUGUUUUUUUUUUUUUUUUAAUAAAUAUUCUGGAGUAUUUAAUAAAACCCAAUUUUUGGAUAUGUAAAUCCAAGUGCUAUUUGAGAAGAAUAGAAAGUAGUUCGUAGUGAAAUUUUUUUUUGAUGUUGUUUGUGCAGAAAUGGAAGUGUUUUUCUUUCAAAGUUCUUUUUGAUAAGUAAUUAAAGUAGAAUUAAUAGUCUAUCUAAAGUGAAGGAAAUGUCUAUACUUGGUGAAAAGAAGAAAUUUUACCUCUAUUCUCUAACAGUCUGAUGUAAAAAGUUAAGAAAACAGAAAAUAUACAAACUGCUUGAUGUGUUUAAAUUUUUUAAAGAUGAGAUUUUAGAUGCAAUUCCUCUAGCAUGUAUGUGCUUCAACUUUGGACAUCGGUUUAGUAUAAUUUUCUAAAGAACCACUUGAAUUACAACUUAUCAAAAAAUAAAACCAUUUGAAUUACAAGAACUAUGUGCUUUUAAUUAUUU